UACAGAGGUCUCGAGCGUUGUUCGGAUUCAUUGGGCGUAAAGGGCGCGUAGGCGGCGGGGUAAGUCUGGUGUGAAAUCUCGGAGCUCAACUCCGAAAUUGCACUGGAUACUGCUCUGCUAGAGGGCUGGAGAGGAGAUCGGAAUUCACGGUGUAGCAGUGAAAUGCGUAGAUAUCGUGAGGAAGACCAGUGGCGAAGGCGGGUCUCUGGACAGUUCCUGACGCUGAGGCGCGAAGGCCAGGGAGCAAACGGG
rnacentral:rRNA from 1 species